UACAGAGGUCCCAAGCGUUGUUCGGAUUCACUGGGCGUAAAGGGUGCGUAGGCGGUCGGGUAAGUCUGAUGUGAAAUCUCACAGCUUAACUGUGAAACUGCAUUGGAUACUAUCCGGCUCGAGGAAUGGAGGGGAGACUGGAAUACUUGGUGUAGCAGUGAAAUGCGUAGAUAUCAAGUGGAACACCAGUGGCGAAGGCGAGUCUCUGGACAUUUCCUGACGCUGAGGCACGAAAGCCAGGGGGCAAACGGG
rnacentral:rRNA from 1 species